GCGCUGCAGCCCCUGCCGUAGCUGCCGCUGCUCCCGCCACCACUGCCUCCUAGAAGAUGGCUGUGCCUCCCACAUGUGCUGAUCUUGGCAAAUCCGCCAGGGAUGUCUUCACCAAAGGCUACGGAUUUGGCUUAAUAAAACUUGAUUUGAAGACAAAGUCUGAGAAUGGUCUGGAAUUCACCAGCUCAGGCUCAGCCAACACGGAGACCACCAAAGUGAACGGCAGCCUGGAAACCAAGUACCGGUGGACUGAGUAUGGCCUGACGUUUACGGAGAAGAGGAACAUGGACAACACGCUAGGCACAGAGAUCACCGUGGAAGACCAGCUUGCGCGUGGACUGAAGCUGACCUUUGACUCAUCCUUCUCACCUAACACUGGGAAAAAAAAUGCUAAAAUCAAGACAGGGUACAAGAGGGAGCACAUCAACUUGGGCUGUGAUGUGGACUUUCACAUCGCUGGGCCCUCGAUCCGGGGCGCUCUGGUGCUGGGCUAUGAGGGCUGGCUUGCUGGCUACCAGAUGAAUUUUGAGACCUCGAAGUCACGGGUGACCCAGAGCAACUUUGCAGUUGGUUACAAGACUGACGAAUUCCAGCUUCAUACCAACGUGAACGAUGGGACAGAGUUUGGUGGCUCCAUUUACCAGAAGGUGAACAAGAAGUUGGAGACCGCUGUCAAUCGUGCCUGGACAGCAGGAAACAGUAACACUCGCUUUGGAAUAGCAGCCAAGUAUCAGAUCGACCCAGAUGCCUGCUUUUCGGCCAAAGUGAACAACUCCAGCCUGAUCAGUUUAGGGUACACUCAGACCCUCAAGCCAGGUAUCAAACUGACACUGUCAGCUCUACUGGAUGGCAAGAACAUCAAUGCAGGUGGCCACAAGCUUGGUCUAGGCCUGGAGUUUCAAGCAUAAAUGAAUAUUGUACAAUCAUUAAUUUUAAACUAUUUUGCAGCAUAGCUACCUUCAGAAUUUAGUGUACCUUUUAAUGUUGCAAGAAUUGCUAAAUAUCAUGUUAGAUUCCAGGUUAAAGAUGAUUCAGCUUUAAGAAAGUGUGUUACCAUUUCAGAGGUACAGAAGAAACCAAUUCCAAAAAAGUCCUUUCAGCUGUAGACUUUGGGAGGAGCCCCCUACAGGUGCCAGGUUUCUCUUUUUAAUCUUAGAAAUGGCUACAAGGGGAAGCUGAUGACUGUAGGCCCUUUGUAAACUGUGUGAGUCCGUGGAUGAAAUUGUGACUUCCGAGCAUCGAACCUUGGUUUCCCAACCCUAACCGUGAGAAGCCCACGGCUUGAUAGUGUGCACACACCCAUCUGAAAGGGACUUUACAGAUCUUUAUACCGU